GGCGGCUCCAUUGUGCCCUCGGAGCGGGCGGUGGCGAGAUGGCGCGGACCGCGGCGGCCCCGGGGCGGCGGGCGGCGCUGAGGGCGGGCUGAGCGCAUGGAGCGGCGCGGACCGUGGGCCGCGGCGGCGAGGGGCCUGGCCGGGCCGCUUGGAGCCAGAGCAUCUGAGUCCCACGUAAGCACCAGUGAGGGCUGCUUCCUGCCACCCACAGACCUGGCCUUAAGGCUGCUCCCAAGCCAAUGAACCCCAUGAACCCCAUGAAACCCGCCCUGCCCCCCGCGCCACACGGUGAUGGUCCAUUCGCUUAUGAGGCGGUGCCUUGGCAACAGAGUGCCACUCAGCCAGCAGGAUCGCUGUCCGUGGUCACAACCGUGUGGGGAGUCGGCAACGCGGCGCAGAGCCAGGUUUUGGGGAACCCUAUGGGCCCCGCAGGGAGCCCCCCCGGCAGCUCCAUGAUGCCCGGCAUGGCAGGCGGCAGCUCUGCCCUGAACUCCCCGCAGUGCCUGGGACAGCAGGCGUUCGGUGAGGGCGGUGCCAACAAGGGCUACGUGCAGCAAGGGGUGUAUGGCCGCGGGGGCUACCCCGGGGGCCCCGGCUUCACCGCUGGGUAUGCGGGCGGCCCGGGGGGGCCGGGGGGCCUGGGCCUUCCCUCACAGGCCGCACGGCCCUCCACCGACUUCACUCAAGCAGCGGCGGCUGCUGCCGUGGCUGCUGCUGCCGCCACGGCCACGGCCACGGCCACGGCCACCGUGGCCGCCCUCCAGGAGAAGCAGAGCCAGGAGCUGAGCCAGUACGGAGCGAUGGGGGCCGGACAGUCUUUUAACAGCCAGUUCCUGCAGCACGGCGGUCCCCGGGGGCCCAGUGUCCCCAGCAGCAUGAACCCUGCCAGCGUGGGAGGGCUGAUGGGCCCCUCCGGCAUGAGCCCCAUGGGCAUGAACCCCACCCGGGCAGCGGGCCUAGCGCCCCUAUAUGCAGGGCAGCGCCUGCCCCAGCACGGGUACCCUGGGCCCCCCCAGGCCCAGCCCCUGCCCCGACAGGGCGUCAAGAGAGCCUACUCCAGUGAGGUGUAUCCUGGGCAGCAGUACCUGCCAGGAGGCCAGUACACGCCCGCCGCCACCCAGUACGCGCCUGGCCCCGGGCAGCCCCCCGCCCUGUCCUCCUAUCCUGGGCACAGGCUGCCCCUGCAGCAGGGUGCGGGCCAGUCCCUGUCCACCCCCAGCCCCGCGGGACUGCACUACAAGCCCGCCCGUUCCAUCCCCGGCUACCCCAGCUCCCCACUGCCAGGGAGCCCCACGCCGCCCAUGACCCCCGGCAGCAGCAUCCCCUACAUGUCCACCAGCCAGGAGGUCAAGUCGCCCUUCCUGCCCGACCUCAAGCCCGGCGUGAGCAGCUUGCACCCGUCACCACCCGGCAGUGGCCCCUGUGACGAGCUGCGGCUGACUUUCCCCGUGCGGGACGGGGUGGUCCUGGAGCCCUUCCGCCUGCAGCACAACCUGGCCGUAAGCAAUCACGCUUUCCAGCUCCGUGACUCCGUCUACAAGACCCUGAUGCUGAGGCCGGACCUGGAGCUGCAGUUCAAGUGCUACCACCACGAGGACCGGCAGAUGAACACCAACUGGCCGGCCUCGGUGCAGGUCAGCGUCAACGCCACCCCGCUCACCAUCGAGCGUGGCGACAACAAGACCUCCCACAAGCCCCUCUACCUGAAGCACGUGUGCCAGCCGGGCCGCAACACCAUCCAGAUCACCGUCACGGCCUGCUGCUGCUCCCACCUCUUCGUGCUGCAGCUGGUGCACCGGCCGUCCGUCCGCUCGGUGCUGCAGGGUCUCCUCAAGAAGCGCCUCCUGCCUGCCGAGCACUGCAUCACCAAGAUAAAGCGGAACUUCAGCAGCGGCACCAUCCCUGGCACCCCUGGGCCCAACGGAGAGGACGGGGUGGAGCAGACGGCCAUCAAGGUGUCUCUCAAGUGCCCCAUCACCUUCCGCAGGAUCCAGCUCCCUGCCCGAGGCCAUGACUGUCGCCACAUUCAGUGCUUUGACCUGGAGUCCUAUUUACAGCUCAACUGUGAGCGAGGGACCUGGAGGUGCCCCGUGUGCAACAAGACGGCAUUGCUGGAGGGCCUGGAGGUGGACCAGUACAUGCUGGGCAUCCUCAUUUACAUUCAGAACUCUGACUACGAGGAGAUCACCAUCGACCCCACGUGCAGCUGGAAGCCAGUGCCUGUGAAGCCUGACGUGCACGUCAAGGAGGAGCCGGACGGGCCGGCGUUGAAGCGCUGCCGCACCGUGAGCCCCGCCCACGUGCUCAUGCCCAGCGUGAUGGAGAUGAUCGCUGCCCUGGGCCCUGGGGCCGCGCCCUUCGCCCCCCUCCAGCCCCCCUCAGCCCCGGCUGCCGGCGAUUACCCCAGCCAGGCUUCCAGCUUCCUGGGACCCGGGACGUUCCCCGACUCCUUCCCGCCCACCACGCCCAGCACCCCGACCCUUGCUGAGUUCACCCCGGGGCCCCCCCCUGUCUCCUAUCAAUCCGACAUUCCCAGCAGCCUCCUGACACCGGAGAGAUCUGCCCCCUGCCUCCCAGGCCAGAUGGCACCAGCGGGUCACCUGGACCCGGCCCAUAACCCUGGGCCUCCGGGGCUGCACGCCCCCAACCUUGGAGGCCCCCCAGGGCCCCAGCUGCACCAUCCAAACCCUCCCCCGGCAUCCCGGCAGCCCCUGGGCCCGGUGAAUUCGGGUCCCAUCGGUGAGCUGGCCUUCAGUGCUGCCACAGGCAUGAUGGGGCCCCCCGUGUCUGGGGCAGGGGAGGCCCCGGAACCGGGCCUGGACGUGAGUACUGGGCCCCGUGCUGGGGAGCACUUGGAGCCGGGGCUGGGGUGUGGCUUAUCUGUCAUCCCAGGGUCCACAUGCUUCAUAGAAGGGAGGACAGUGAUACCACCGUGACUUCCAGACGCAGGGAGAGCUGGUCGGGUGACGUCAGCGCUUUUGUUGACGAGUGUGAGCUGCUCCCAGAACUGACUAACCCUGACGAGCUGCUGUCCUACCUGGGCCCACCCGACCUCCCCACAAACAGCAAUGACGACCUGCUCUCUCUCUUCGAGAACAACUGAUCCUGUUGACCACCUGGCCGACGGGGACAUGCCCGCAGAUGUCACACACCCUCCUCUCCAGCCCGGCCCCCCCGACACCAGCGGCCCUCCCCACACGUACACCUGGAGCCAGGACGCGCCCCGACGCCUGGCCCUGGAGGCUGGAGGCGGCCCUGCACUGGCUGGGAGGGGACCCCUGGGCGGUGGUGCUCGCUGGCCCAGUUUGCAGCUGCAGAACUGUUUUUGAUGAGAUCCCCAGCCCCGCCCUUGUCCCUGCCCCGUCCACACCCCACCCAUGCUUGUCCAGCCCUGCCUGGUUCAUGCACACCUGCCGCCCCUGGCCCCCCGACCCCUGCCUGCUCUCACCGGCCUGCAUCUUGUCCACCGUUGACCUUUUUACUUCAAUGACCCCUUGGCCCUGGGCCGGUGAGGAGCGGGGCUGCUCUGUCCCGGGGCCCCGUCUCGCCCAGCCUCCUGUGGCAGGGGCUGGGGGUGUCCCUCCUCCCACCCGAGGCUUCAGGCUGACGCUGGCGGUGGGGCCUCUACAGCACAACAGUGUACCUAGCGUAGAAACGCUGACAGAUGUAGGGUGGCUGGGCCUCUGUGCAGCCGGGGCUCCUGCCCUGGCCGUGUGCAUACAGCGGGGGGGGGGGGGGCAAGCUCCCUCCUGCUGGAGGCGGGGCUCGGACUCGGCUCCCCCAAGCUCCCCUUCUCCGUGAAAGUGAAGAAUUGGUCUCGCUGUGUUUUUUAAAACCACACCUCUCCCGUGUCCGCCCUGGGGCCACGCCAGGUGGGGGAGGAGCCGCCGCACUGCAGGUGCAGGGCCGAGCUGUGUCCCCUGUCUGCCCGUCUCUAUUAAAGGACUCCCUCGUGGUGGA